rnacentral:snRNA from 1 species
UUGUCCAUUUUGGCAUUGGCUACGACCAAUUACAGUAUCUGUUCUAGAUGGCUUGAUAGGCUAUCUCCCAAACACCUAUCAGCUAUUUUUCGGGGCGGGGGGGCUGAACCAAGCUUGCUUGGACCCCCCCAGCGUCGCCUCUGCCUUGCACAAACCGCAAAGGAGGGCGCAGCCCAC